UUGGAGGGCAAGUCUGGUGCCAGCAGCCGCGGUAAUUCCAGCUCCAAUAGCGUAUAUUAAAGUUGUUGCAGUUAAAAAGCUCGUAGUUGAAUUUCGGGAUCAAUAUAUUGGUCAUGCUUAGGUAUGUACUGGUAUUAUUGAUUUCUCCCUUCUGAAGAACCAUGAUGUCAUUAAUUUGAUGUCGUGGGGAAUCAGGACUGUUACUUUGAAAAAAUUAGAGUGUUUAAAGCAGGCUUUCGCUUGAAUACAUUAGCAUGGAAUAAUGAAAUAGGACGUUUGAUUCUAUUUUGUUGGUUUCUAGGAUCGACGUAAUGAUUAAUAGGGAUAGUUGGGGGCAUUAGUAUUCAAUUGUCAGAGGUGAAAUUCUUGGAUUUAUUGGAGACUAACUACUGCGAAAGCAUUUGCCAAGGAUGUUUUCAUUAAUCAAGAACGAAAGUUAGGGGAUCGAAGACGAUCAGAUACCGUCGUAGUCUUAACCAUAAACUAUGCCGACUAGGGAUCGGAUGAUGUUAUUUUUAAUGACUCAUUCGGCGCCUUACGGGAAAC
rnacentral:rRNA from 1 species